UGGGGUAUAGCUCAGUGGUAGAGUGUUUGACUGCAGAUCAAGUGGUCCUUGGUUCAAAUCCAAGUGCUCUCUAA